UACGUAGGGUGCGAGCGUUGUCCGGAAUUACUGGGCGUAAAGAGCUUGUAGGUGGUUUGUCGCGUUGUUCGUGAAAUCUCACGGCUUAACUGUGAGCGUGCGGGCGAUACGGGCAGACUAGAGUACUGCAGGGGAGACUGGAAUUCCUGGUGUAGCGGUGGAAUGCGCAGAUAUCAGGAGGAACACCGGUGGCGAAGGCGGGUCUCUGGGCAGUAACUGACGCUGAGACGCGAAAGCGUGGGGAGCAAACAGG
rnacentral:rRNA from 1 species